rnacentral:rRNA from 1 species
AUUGAACGCUGGCGGCAUGCCUUACACAUGCAAGUCGAACGGCAGCACGGGAGCAAUCCUGGUGGCGAGUGGCGAACGGGUGAGUAAAGUAUCGGAACGUGCCCAGUCGUGGGGGAUAACGUAGCGAAAGUUACGCUAAUACCGCAUACGAUCUAUGAAUGAAAGCGGGGGAUCGCAAGGACUCGCGCGAUGGGAGCGGCCGACAUCAGAUUAGGUAGUUGGUGGGAUAAAGGCUCACCAAGCCGACGAUCUGUAGCUGGUCUGAGAGGCCGACCAGCCACACUGGGACUAGGACACGGCCCAGACUCCUACGGGAGGCAGCAGUGGGGAAUUUUGGACAAUGGGCGAAAGCCUGAUCCAGCCAUGCCGCGUGCAGGAUGAAGGCCUUCGGGUUGUAAACUGCUUUUGUACGGAACGAAAGGGUUUGGCCUAAUAAGCUGAGCUCAUGACGGUACCGUAAGAAUAAGCACCGGCUAACUACGUGCCAGCCGCCGCAGUAA